UACGUAGGGUGCGAGCGUUGUCCGGAAUUAUUGGGCGUAAAGAGCUCGUAGGCGGUCUGUCGCGUCUGCUGUGAAAACCCGAGGCUCAACCUCGGGCCUGCAGUGGGUACGGGCAGACUAGAGUGCGGUAGGGGAGAAUGGAACUCCUGGUGUAGCGGUGGAAUGCGCAGAUAUCAGGAGGAACACCGAUGGCGAAGGCAGUGGGCUGGGCCGGCACUGACGCUGAGGAGCGAAAGCGUGGGGAGCGAACAGG
rnacentral:rRNA from 1 species